UAAGACCUGUACUGGAGUGGGAAUAAAACCCGGAGUGGGAAUAAAACCCGGACUGGAGCUGGCGGUGAGACCUGGACUGGAGUUGGGAGCAACAGGUGGAGUGGAAGCAAAACCCGGAGUGGGAAUAAAACCCGGACUGGAGUUGGGAGCAAAACCCGGACUGGGAAUAAAACCCGGACUGGAGUUGGGAGCAAAACCUGGACUGGGAAUAAAACCCGGACUGGAGCAGACGGUAAAACCCGGACUGGAGUUGGGAGCUGGACUGGAGUUGGAAGCAAAACCGGAGUGGGAAUAAAACCCGGACUGGAGUUGGGAGCAAAACCUGGACUGGGAAUAAAAACCGGACUGGAGCUGACAGUAAAACCCGGACUGGAGUUGGGAGCUGGACUGGAGUGGAAGCAAAACCCGGAGUGGGAAUAAAACCCGGACUGGAGUUGAGAGCAAGAGCUGGGCUGGGAAUAAAGCCUGGACUGGAUUAAAAUUUGGACCGGGAGCGACACCGGAACCAGCAGUACCACCAGAACCGGAACCAACAGUGGGACUGACAGCAAUACUGGGUCUGACACCGGGACCAGAAUCGACACCAGGACCAGGAACAACAACAGGACCAGAACUGACACCAGGACCGGAACAACACCGGGACCAGAACCAACACUGGGACCAGAACCGACACCAGGACCAGAACCGACACCGGGACCAGGAACAACACCAGGACCAGGAACAACACCGGGACCAGAACCGACACCAGAACCAGAACCGGCAUCAGGACCAGAACAACACUGGGACCAGAACCGACACCGGUCCAACAACGGGACCAGGGGCUGACACUGGGACUGUCAUCAACACCAGAACCAGAACCGACACCGGAACCGGGACUGACACCAGGACCAACACCUGGACCAAUACUGGGACCGGAACUGACACCAGGACCAGGACCAAAACCUGGACCAACACCAGAACCAGGACUGACACCGGGACCAGGAAAAACACCUGGACCAACACCAGAACCAGGACCAACACCAGGACCAGGAAAAACACCCGGACCAACCCUGGGACCAGAACUGACACCAGAACCAGGACCAGCACCUGAACCAACACUGGGACCAGAACCAACAAUUGGACCAGGACCAACAAUUGAACCAACACCAGAACCAGGACCAACACCUGAACCAACACCAGGACCAGAACCAACAGUUGGACCAGGACCGACACCAGAACCCACAACACUGUGACCAGAACCAACAAUUGGCCCAGAACUGACACCAGAACCCACAACACCGGGACCAGAACCAACAACUG
rnacentral:lncRNA from 1 species